rnacentral:rRNA from 1 species
UUAAGUUAUUAAGGGCGCACGGUGGAUGCCUUGGCACUAGAAGCCGAUGAAGGACGUUACUAACGACGAUAUGCUUUGGGGAGCUGUAAGUAAGCUUUGAUCCAGAGAUUUCCGAAUGGGGAAACCCAGCAUGAGUUAUGUCAUGUUAUCGAUAUGUGAAUACAUAGCAUAUCAGAAGGCACACCCGGAGAACUGAAACAUCUUAGUACCCGGAGGAAGAGAAAGAAAAUUCGAUUCCCUUAGUAGCGGCGAGCGAAACGGGAAGAGCCCAAACCAACAAGCUUGCUUGUUGGGGUUGUAGGACACUCUAUACGGAGUUACAAAGGACGACAUUAGACGAAUCAUCUGGAAAGAUGAAUCAAAGAAGGUAAUAAUCCUGUAGUCGAAAAUGUUGUCUCUCUUGAGUGGAUCCUGAGUACGACGGAGCACGUGAAAUUCCGUCGGAAUCUGGGAGGACCAUCUCCUAAGGCUAAAUACUCUCUAGUGACCGAUAGUGAACCAGUACCGUGAGGGAAAGGUGAAAAGCACCCCGGAAGGGGAGUGAAAUAGAACCUGAAACCGUGUGCUUACAAGUAGUCAGAGCCCGUUAAUGGGUGAUGGCGUGCCUUUUGUAGAAUGAACCGGCGAGUUACGAUUUGAUGCAAGGUUAAGCAGUAAAUGUGGAGCCGUAGCGAAAGCGAGUCUGAAUAGGGCGUUUAGUAUUUGGUCGUAGACCCGAAACCAGGUGAUCUACCCUUGGUCAGGUUGAAGUUCAGGUAACACUGAAUGGAGGACCGAACCGACUUACGUUGAAAAGUGAGCGGAUGAACUGAGGGUAGCGGAGAAAUUCCAAUCGAACCUGGAGAUAGCUGGUUCUCUCCGAAAUAGCUUUAGGGCUAGCCUCAAGUGAUGAUUAUUGGAGGUAGAGCACUGUUUGGACGAGGGGCCCCUCUCGGGUUACCGAAUUCAGACAAACUCCGAAUGCCAAUUAAUUUAACUUGGGAGUCAGAACAUGGGUGAUAAGGUCCGUGUUCGAAAGGGAAACAGCCCAGACCACCAGCUAAGGUCCCAAAAUAUAUGUUAAGUGGAAAAGGAUGUGGCGUUGCCCAGACAACUAGGAUGUUGGCUUAGAAGCAGCCAUCAUUUAAAGAGUGCGUAAUAGCUCACUAGUCGAGUGACACUGCGCCGAAAAUGUACCGGGGCUAAACAUAUUACCGAAGCUGUGGAUUGUCCUUUGGACAAUGGUAGGAGAGCGUUCUAAGGGCGUUGAAGCAUGAUCGUAAGGACAUGUGGAGCGCUUAGAAGUGAGAAUGCCGGUGUGAGUAGCGAAAGACGGGUGAGAAUCCCGUCCACCGAUUGACUAAGGUUUCCAGAGGAAGGCUCGUCCGCUCUGGGUUAGUCGGGUCCUAAGCUGAGGCCGACAGGCGUAGGCGAUGGAUAACAGGUUGAUAUUCCUGUACCACCUAUAAUCGUUUUAAUCGAUGGGGGGACGCAGUAGGAUAGGCGAAGCGUGCGAUUGGAUUGCACGUCUAAGCAGUAAGGCUGAGUAUUAGGCAAAUCCGGUACUCGUUAAGGCUGAGCUGUGAUGGGGAGAAGACAUUGNGUCUUCGAGUCGUUGAUUUCACACUGCCGAGAAAAGCCUCUAGAUAGAAAAUAGGUGCCCGUACCGCAAACCGACACAGGUAGUCAAGAUGAGAAUUCUAAGGUGAGCGAGCGAACUCUCGUUAAGGAACUCGGCAAAAUGACCCCGUAACUUCGGGAGAAGGGGUGCUCUUUAGGGUUAACGCCCAGAAGAGCCGCAGUGAAUAGGCCCAAGCGACUGUUUAUCAAAAACACAGGUCUCUGCUAAACCGUAAGGUGAUGUAUAGGGGCUGACGCCUGCCCGGUGCUGGAAGGUUAAGAGGAGUGGUUAGCUUCUGCGAAGCUACGAAUCGAAGCCCCAGUAAACGGCGGCCGUAACUAUAACGGUCCUAAGGUAGCGAAAUUCCUUGUCGGGUAAGUUCCGACCCGCACGAAAGGCGUAACGAUUUGGGCACUGUCUCAACGAGAGACUCGGUGAAAUCAUAGUACCUGUGAAGAUGCAGGUUACCCGCGACAGGACGGAAAGACCCCGUGGAGCUUUACUGUAGCCUGAUAUUGAAAUUCGGCACAGCUUGUACAGGAUAGGUAGGAGCCUUUGAAACGUGAGCGCUAGCUUACGUGGAGGCGCUGGUGGGAUACUACCCUAGCUGUGUUGGCUUUCUAACCCGCACCACUUAUCGUGGUGGGAGACAGUGUCAGGCGGGCAGUUUGACUGGGGCGGUCGCCUCCUAAAAGGUAACGGAGGCGCUCAAAGGUUCCCUCAGAAUGGUUGGAAAUCAUUCAUAGAGUGUAAAGGCAUAAGGGAGCUUGACUGCGAGACCUACAAGUCGAGCAGGGUCGAAAGACGGACUUAGUGAUCCGGUGGUUCCGCAUGGAAGGGCCAUCGCUCAACGGAUAAAAGCUACCCCGGGGAUAACAGGCUUAUCUCCCCCAAGAGUUCACAUCGACGGGGAGGUUUGGCACCUCGAUGUCGGCUCAUCGCAUCCUGGGGCUGUAGUCGGUCCCAAGGGUUGGGCUGUUCGCCCAUUAAAGCGGUACGCGAGCUGGGUUCAGAACGUCGUGAGACAGUUCGGUCCUAUCCGUCGUGGGCGUAGGAAAUUUGAGAGGAGCUGUCCUUAGUACGAGAGGACCGGGAUGGACAUACCUCUGGUGUACCAGUUGUCGUGCCAACGGCAUAGCUGGGUAGCUAUGUGUGGACGGGAUAAGUGCUGAAAGCAUCUAAGCAUGAAGCCCCCCUCAAGAUGAGAUUUCCCAACUUCGGUUAUAAGAUCCCUCAAAGAUGAUGAGGUUAAUAGGUUCGAGGUGGAAGCAUGGUGACAUGUGGAGCUGACGAAUACUAAUCGAUCGAAGACUUAAUCAA